GAUUAACGCUGGCGGCGUGCAUAACACAUGCAAGUCGAACGAUGAAACUUAAAUGAUUUCUUCGGAAUGAACUUAAGUGGAUUAGUGGCGGACGGGUGAGUAACGCGUGAGUAACCUGCCUUACACAAGGGGAUAGCCGUUGGAAACGACGAAUAAUACCCUAUGAAACUAUCACUUCGCAUGAAGCGAUAGUCAAAGUGUUAGCGGUGUAAGAUGGACUUGCGUCUGAUUAGCUAGUUGGUGAGAAAAAGCCCACCAAGGCAACGAUCAGUAGCCGGCUUGAGAGAGUGUACGGCCACAUUGGGACUGAGACACGGCCCAGACUCCUACGGGAGGCAGCAGUGGGGAAUUUUGCACAAUGGGGGAAACCCUGAUGCAGCGACGCCGCGUGAUUUAGAAGGCCUUCGGGUUGUAAAAAUCUUUUGUAUAGGAAGAAAAUGACAGUACUAUACGAAUAAGGGCCGGCUAAUUACGUG
rnacentral:rRNA from 1 species